GACAAAGAAAGUUGUGGUUCCUUUGGGGGAAAUUAUUUUAGUGGUGUCCUCCCUUAAAUUAGGGAUUAUAGUAUUCAUUGCUUUAUAAUGAAUUCUGUAAAUAAGAAUUAUAUUCUCAGAUCCUGGUAACAUAUCAUAACCAAAUGUUUUAAUAUCCAAAGACAAAGCUUUCAUUAUGUGAGGAUCUUCUAUGGACAAAGUGAAAUUUGGAUAGCACGAAAAAUAAAUUGGCCCAUCACAAAGAUGAUUCUACUAUUCCUAAUAAGGAACCAUUGAAAUUAUUGUCUCUUAUCUCGAACACAGAUUAGGGCUGAGGUGUUUAAUCCUAGCCUUGUUGCUGGUUUUAGGGCAAUUUGAAUCAUUCCUAUAUGAAGGAAAGAAUAUUCCUUUUGAUGCUUUUUUAAAAGAUCUUAUGAAAAAAAGACUCCUAGAGUGUAAUCCUUCAUGGAUAGGAGUUGCUUGUUCAACAGUUUUGACCACAUAAUCAGAUUUAAACAAAAAACUAGCAUUUGACUUAUAGAUGAGAUUAGAAGAGAUGGGAGGUAACUUCCAAUUAUUUAAGUUAUUUUCUACAUUAGAUAGUAAUAACAUUUCUUUAUUUUUUGAUUUCUUCUUUUCCUUCUCUUUAAACCUAGCACUAGAACUCCUAGAGCUACUAGAGAGACUAGCAAAUAUCUUAUCCAUUAAUCCUAGAUCACUGUCAACGAUGUUAC
rnacentral:misc_RNA from 1 species